rnacentral:rRNA from 1 species
AGCGAACGCUGGCGGCAGGCCAAACACAUGCAAGUCGAACGGAUCCUUCGGGAUUAGUGGCGGACGGGUGAGUAACACGUGGGAACGUGCCCUUUGGUUCGGAACAACUCAGGGAAACUUGAGCUAAUACCGGAUGUGCCCUUCGGGGGAAAGAUUUAUCGCCAUUGGAGCGGCCCGCGUCUGAUUAGCUAGUUGGUGAGGUAACGGCCCACCAAGGCGACGAUCAGUAGCUGGUCUGAGAGGAUGAUCAGCCACACUGGGACUGAGACACGGCCCAGACUCCUACGGGAGGCAGCAGUGGGGAAUCUUGCGCAAUGGGCGAAAGCCUGACGCAGCCAUGCCGCGUGAAUGAUGAAGGUCUUAGGAUUGUAAAAUUCUUUCAGCGGGGACGAUAAUGACGGUACCCGCAGAAGAAGCUCCGGCUAACUUCGUG